UAAGAAGCUACCGGAGGAUGUUUGGGGAGGGGACGCGUACUCGUGGUCCUCUUUGCAGAAUCCGACGAGUUAUGGAAGCAGGGGAGGCAGUACGAGUAAGGAGGUGAAUUAUGGUGGUGGAGGCGGUGGAAAAGUGAAAUUGACCAUAAUCGAGUAUGUAGUAGUCGAUGGCUGCAUAUUGGCUGAUGGAGGCGACGGGGGUACCAAGGGAGGUGGUGGCUCUGGUGGCAGCAUCUACAUAAAGGCC
rnacentral:misc_RNA from 1 species